rnacentral:rRNA from 1 species
UACGGAGGGUGCAAGCGUUAUCCGGAUUCACUGGGUUUAAAGGGUGCGUAGGUGGGCAGGUAAGUCAGUGGUGAAAUCUCCGGGCUUAACCCGGAAACUGCCAUUGAUACUAUCUGUCUUGAAUACCGUGGAGGUGAGCGGAAUAUGUCAUGUAGCGGUGAAAUGCUUAGAUAUGACAUAGAACACCAAUUGCGAAGGCAGCUCACUACACGAAUAUUGACACUGAGGCACGAAAGCGUGGGAUC